GGGAAGCAAACAGGAUUAGAUACCCCUGGGUAGUCCACGCCGUAAAACGUAUGAGUGUUAAAGUGUUUAAGAGGGGUUUUCCGCCCCUUUAGGUGCUGCAGCUAAACGCAUUUAAAGCACUCCGCCUGGGGGAGUUACGGGUCGCAAGACUGAAACUCAAAGGGAAUUUGACGGGGGCCCGCACAAAGCGGUGGAAGCAUGUGGUUUAAUUCGAAGCAAACGCGAAGAACCUUUACCAGGUCUUGACAUCCUCUGACAACCCUAGAGAUAGGGCUUUUCCCCUUCGGGGGACAGAGUGACAGGUGGUGCAUGGUUGUCGUCAGCUCGUGUCGUGAGAUGUUGGGUUAAGUCCCGCAACGAGCGCAACCCUUGAUCUUAGUUGCCAGCAUUCAGUUGGGCACUCUAAGAUGACUGCCGGUGACAAACCGGAGGAAGGUGGGGAUGACGUCAAAUCAUCAUGCCCCUUAUGACCUGGGCUACACACGUGCUACAAUGGACGGUACAAAGGGCAGCGAGACCGCGAGGUUUAGCCAAUCCCAUAAAACCGUUCUCAGUUCGGAUUGCAGGCUGCAACUCGCCUGCAUGAAGCUGGAAUCGCUAGUAAUCGCGGAUCAGCAUGGGGCGGUGAAUACGUUCCCGGGCCUUGU
rnacentral:rRNA from 2 species